GGUUGGAGGGAGGUGUCGGGACUGGGCUGCGGCUGGAAGCGAAAUUCCGGGAAGAGGAAAAUGCCUCCCAUAUCUCCAAACUACCUGAAGAACUUCAAUUUCCAGUGUAAACAAGGUGGGUAACACCAAGUGGCAAUGGCAAGAUUAAAAAUUAGAGGAGAUACUCUGAUUUAUGGAGAUACACAAUAUUUAUCCUCCAAACACUGCAGAAUGGUAAGAGAACGCUGGGCAGUGGGGAAUAAAGCUUCUGUUCCUGUUCCUGCUACUGUUCCUCCAUCAGUAAUCUGCAAUAUAUUUAGAAAAGCUCAUUAAACAUUUGGCCAAAUGUGCUUUCCCAAACAUUGCUGUCUGAAGAGAGCAGACCUUGGGUCACGUAGCUGGAGAGAAGGGAAUUUUUCCUUGUUUAUUUUUAGUUUGAUUUCCUAGGGAAGUAACCCAUCUGUGAUCUGUUUCCCUCUGGAAAGGUUUGAAACCAUUCAAGUUUGCAAAGCCUCAGAGAUAUGAAACAACUCCAGUUUUUGUGGGAGUAGCUGCUCAGGUAAAAAGAGACUCUGGAACAGGAAAAGGGGAAACCAUAGGAAUUGAGACUGUGAAUUUGUGCAUCCUUCCAAGCAGCAGCGAGGGUGGAAGGGGCAGCAGGAGCUGGAUUGCUCUGACGUGGUUUUCUCCCCCAAAUUAGCCAGCAAACUUCUGCUUGUACUGAGUCCCUCCAAAUCCAGAUUUCCUUUCUCUAUCCCAGGAUUAGGGUAAGGAAGAGGAAGCUUCAGUAGGAUACUUGGAAGAGUCUGUGCCCAGGCUACCCUUAAUGUAAGAUCCUAGUUAUGCAAGAGGAAAUAAAACACAUUAAUGCCAAUUACAGGGUGUUGGACUGGGAAAGGCUGAGAGCUGUGCUUGGGGUAGAAACAAACAACAGAAAUUAUAAACAUGAGCAGGAAUUAAUGGAAGCUCAGUUGGGAAGACUUUUGAGUUCUUCUCUGGGAAGAUUUGAUUUCUUGGACCCACCUUUUGAAAUGAAGAAAAAAUAAAUCUUCCAGGAGACAGUAAAGCAGAAGUGAAGCUGCCAUCAAAUACCACCGUGUGAAGAAGGCUCUGGAAAUGCUGGUACAGUUCUGUGGGUAUGUGAAGGAAAGAACAGGGAUGUGAGGGAUGUAGUGGAGGCUGCAGGAAUUUAAAUCUCCUGGUUUCUUAUCAAUCCAGCAGAAUUUGGGUACUGUGCAGAACAGCAGCGCGUUCUCUCUUGCCAGAGCUGUCCAGAGGAGAUCACAUCUGUGCACUUUAUGUCACACACCUGUAGCUCCUUACAUUGGAACAUUUGCCAAGAGAGGCAGAGAUUUGGCCCUUCCCGAGUGCUCCUCGUUCCCCGCAGCUGCCAGGAGGUGGCUCUCUGCAUUUGCAGUCCCUAUUUACUACUUUGUUUAUGGAAUUACGCUGGACACGCUUUCCGUGGAAAAUGUUUUCCCUGCGUCUGCCCUGAGGAAGUUUACGUCAGAAGAACAAGGAAGCCGUGGGCUCAG